rnacentral:snRNA from 1 species
GUGCUCGCUUUGGCAGCACAUAUACUAAAAUUGGAACGGUACAGAGAAGAUUAACAUGGCCCCUGCGCAAGAAUGACAAUAAAAAAAUAACAAUAAUGAUUCAUU